CUGAACAGAGACUGAAUAGGCAAUGAACAAGGUGAUUAGUGGAAGGGAUUCAGUGACUAUUUUGGCUCCCCACCAAAACAUUAGUUUUGCCCCUAUAAUCAGGGAGUGGAGGAGCCAAGAUGGUGAUGGAACAGACACCUGUUUUAGAGCCUCAGUCUUAAAUCACUAUUUUUUUCCACCUGAGAAGAUCUCAGCCUUUAAAAAGAAUCUUCACUGCCUAUGGGGGAAACUCCUGGCAGCUCCUUUGUGGUGAUUAUCCAGCUUUUGGAAGAGCAGAAAGUGAAUAAGAGAUCCAUACCAGUGGCUUGGAGGAGCUCAGAACUGGGUGAAGCAGCAUGAUCAACACUUCCAAGAUGAUCUAGAUUGUGGGAAAAGCUUAAGAGGACGGACAUUGACAGACAGCUUCUCAGGUUACUGAUUGAACUGCACUCUAAUCUCAUGGCCAGGCUUCCCAUCCUGGAGCUCACAAUAAUUGAUUACGCCUACACUGACUGCUCUGUCAGAGCUGGUGAAAGCAACAGACUUAAAGGUAUGGAAUUUCUUGACAGCACUGUCCUCUGUUCAAUUCCUAGAUAACAUUACAGCCAAACAGUUCUAUCCGAAGACAGAUGCUCUGAUUCCAAUCUUUAGGAAUGAUCCGAAUGAACCUGGAAAAUAUAGGAGGGCUGAAGACGUGCUUGAUCUGACUGCUGCUGUUAAUGUUUCCUGUAAAUACCUGAAAAUAAAUCAUUUUAAUUUAUGAAA